rnacentral:ribozyme from 12 species
CAGCAAAAUCACACACACACAAAAAAAAAAAAGCACAAAAAAAAAUGAAAAAAUAAUAACCAACAGAAAACAACCACGGUGCCCAGAAGUGAUCUAAAUGCAAUUGCCACAUCUCUCUUAUUUCUCGGGUUUUGUAUUUGCGUUUUUUUUUUUUUUUUUUUUUUUUUUUUU